UACAGAGGUCCCAAGCGUUGUUCGGAUUCACUGGGCGUAAAGGGUGCGUAGGCGGUCGGGUAAGUCUGAUGUGAAAUCUCCGAGCUUAACUCGGAAAUGGCAUUGGAUACUAUUCGGCUGGAGGUUUGGAGGGGGGACUGGAAUUCUCGGUGUAGCAGUGAAAUGCGUAGAUAUCGAGAGGAACACCAGUGGCGAAGGCAGCCCCCUGGGCUAACACUGACGCUCAGGCACGAAAGCGUGGGGAGCAAACAGG
rnacentral:rRNA from 1 species